AUUGAACGCUGGCGGCAUGCCUAACACAUGCAAGUCGAACGGCAGCACAGCCCGCAAGGGUGGGUGGCGAGUGGCGGACGGGUGAGGAAUACAUGGGAAUCUACCCUGUCGUGGGGGAUAACGUAGGGAAACUUACGCUAAUACCGCAUACGACCUCCGGGUGAAAGCGGCGGACCGCAAGGCGUCGCGCGACUGGAUGAGCCCAUGUAGGAUUAGCUAGUGGGCGGGGUAAUGGCACACCAAGGCGACGAUCCGUAGCUGGUCUGAGAGGAUGAUCAGCCACACUGGAACUGAGACACGGUCCAGACUCCUACGGGAGGCAGCAGUGGGGAAUAUUGGACAAUGGGCGCAAGCCUGAUCCAGCAAUGCCGCGUGGGUGAAGAAGGCCUUCGGGUUGUAAAGCCCUUUUGUACGGGAAGAAAUCCUGUCGGUUAAUACCCGGCGGGGAUGACGGUACCGUAAGAAUAAGCACCGGCUAACUUCGUGCCAGCAGCCGCCGUAA
rnacentral:rRNA from 1 species